UGAGCAAUCUGCCCUUCUCAUCGGAAUAAGCGUUGGAAACGACGUCUAAUGCCGAAUACGACCUCCUUUCGCAUGAUCGGAGGUGGAAAGCUCCGGCGGAGAAGGAUGAGCUCGCGGCCUAUCAGCUAGUUGGUGUGGGUAAUGGCCCACAAGGCGACGGACGGGUAGCCGGCCUGAGAGGGUGACCGACCACACGUGGGACUGAGACACGGCCCAGACCUCCGUACGGGAGCAG
rnacentral:rRNA from 1 species